rnacentral:rRNA from 1 species
UACGGGGGGAGCAAGCGUUGUUCGGAUUUACUGGGCGUAAAGGGCGCGCAGGCGGCUGCUCAAGUCAGGCGUGAAAGGCCUGGGCUCAACCCGGGAAUUGCGCUUGAGACUGGGCUGGCUUGAGUGCGGGAGAGGAUGGUGGAAUUCCCAGUGUAGAGGUGAAAUUCGUAGAUAUUGGGAAGAACACCGUGGCGAAGGCGG